rnacentral:rRNA from 1 species
CCUACGGGUGGCAGCAGUGGGGAAUAUUGGACAAUGGGGGCAACCCUGAUCCAGCCAUGCCGCGUGUGUGAAGAAGGCCCUCGGGUUGUAAAGCACUUUCAGUGAGGAAGAACGCCUGGUGGUUAAUACCCAUCAGGAAAGACAUCACUCACAGAAGAAGCACCGGCUAACUCCGUGCCAGCAGCCGCGGUAAUACGGAGGGUGCGAGCGUUAAUCGGAAUUACUGGGCGUAAAGCGCGCGUAGGUGGCUUGAUAAGCCGGUUGUGAAAGCCCCGGGCUCAACCUGGGAACGGCAUCCGGAACUGUCAAGCUAGAGUGCAGGAGAGGAAGGUAGAAUUCCCGGUGUAGCGGUGAAAUGCGUAGAGAUCGGGAGGAAUACCAGUGGCGAAGGCGGCCUUCUGGACUGAUACUGACACUGAGGUGCGAAAGCGUGGGUAGCAAACAGGAUUAGAUACCCCGGUAGUC